rnacentral:rRNA from 1 species
UGAGUUAUCCCUUCGGGGAUACAGGGGACACAGGUGGUGCAUGGUUGUCGUCAGCUCGUGUUGUGAAAUGUUGGGUUAAGUCCCGCAACGAGCGCAACCCUUGUAUUUAGUUGCCAGCAUUAAGUUGGGCACUCUAGAUAGACUGCCGUGGACAACACGGAGGAAGGUGGGGAUGACGUCAAAUCAUCAUGCCCUUUAUGUCCUGGGCUACACACGUGCUACAAUGGUCGGUACAACGAGCAGCAAGCUAGCGAUAGCAAGCGAAUCUCUAAAAGCCGAUCCCAGUUCGGAUUGUAGGCUGCAACUCGCCUACAUGAAGUCGGAGUUGCUAGUAAUCGCGAAUCAGCAUGUCGCGGUGAAUGCGUUCCCGGGUCUUGUACACACCGCCCGUCACACCAUGGGAGUUGUCAAUACCCGAAGCCAGUGAGCUAACCAGAAAUGGAGGCAGCUGUCGAAGGUAGGGGCAAUGACUGGGGUGAAGUCGUAACAAGGUAGCCGUAUCGGAAGGUGCGGCUGGAUCACCUCCUUUCUAAGGAG